UUAGGACUGGUUGCAAUGCCUAGGAGGAAAAGAUGAUUCAGCACUCUGAGCUUAAAAGGGCCUGUCAUAAAGGAAUAAUUUGAACUGUAAUCAACAGUGAACAUUGGAUAUGUAUUAUAUGUGACCAUGUUCUGUUGUUAAAAGCAGGAUACGUAAACCAUAUUAAGUCACAUGAAAAUUGGACAAAAUGCUUAGUGACAUUACAUUCUGAGUUCAAAUUCUGCUGAAGUCAACUUUACCUUUCAUCCCUUUCUGGGUCAAUGAAAUAAGAACCAGUUGAGUACUGGGGUUGAUGUACUAUAUUUUAACGUGCAUAAACAGCCCUCAUGCAUAAAGAGUUCCCUAAUUUUGGGGCUUAAAAUUUGGAAAAAAAGGUUUUGUAAGGGAUUAUAAGGAAUUAUCCAUAUAUAAGAAACUCCCAUAUUUUAUAACCUAAAUUUUGACAAGAAAGGGUUCCUUAUACAUGUAAAAAUGAUGUAAAUUGACCGAGGUCCUCCCCUAACAUUGCUGGCCUUGUACCAAAAUUUGAAACUAUUAUGUCUAUUUUCAAAUCUCAGAGAUCACUACCAUUCUGCAAUGUUCUAUAAUUUCAGAUCAUGUGGAACAUAGCAUAUAAACAACUCAAUGAAAUGGAAACACAAAGUUUGUGAAAUCACAGUAGAGCGAAAAGAAAUUACUCUUCUUGGAGCAUGGAGAUUCAGUGAAGAAGCUUAUAGUAGUAGUGAAAUAGAAACAUAAAUGAUGAUGAUGAUGGUGAUGACGAUGAUAACGAAGACGACGACAAUGACAACAAUGAUGAUGAUGAUGGUGCUACAGAAAGAAUUGUUCAUUGCUUGACUGAAUAUGGUCAUAAGCCAACCUAUAAAGAUACUAUUUUAAUAAACUGAAAUGGUAAUCUAAGUCUUGCUAUAGUUUAAAUAAUAGUUUAUUUGAAUAGUUGAUUUAAUUCCAUCCAAGCUGAAUAUGUUUGAAUGAAAUAUUUGAAUUCAAACUCUUAUUGAGCUGUUUAGGAGUAAACUUAUGUCGCAACUAGCAGCAAAGUAAUUAUAUUAAAGAUGAAGAGAAAACGAGAAUAAGAUGAUGGAGAGAAUAGAGAUGGUAAAAAUAAGAGAUGUCAGGUGAUUGGUUUUAUCAAAUUAAGUAAUUAUAUUUCUUGGGAAAUGUUGAAUUGGGAAAGUGAAGAAUUGGUCUGCAAUAAACAAUUGAAUUAUUUUCCAACACUGUCAUUUAA